rnacentral:rRNA from 1 species
GCCUCCCUGUAACAAAGUUAAGAGCUACUCAAAGGAGGUACAGCUCCUUUGACAAAGAAUACAACCUCUUCUAGCGGAUAACCAAAAGCCUCCCUCCCUGUAGGCCUUAAAGCAGCCAUCAACAAAGAGUGCGUCAAAGCUCACAACCCUAAAAAUCCAAAAACAUACGCGACUCCCUCACCCACAGUGGGCUAACCUAUGACAAUAGGAGAAUUAAUGCUAAAAUGAGUAACCUGAGACCCUCCCUCCAAUGAGCGUAAACUUACAUUAAUACAUUAUUAACAGACCACCUAUACCCCCACUUCAACAAGAACACAUAUUUUUUUUUCUGUUAGACCCACUCAGGAACGCCCACCGGACGAUUAAAAUCUGUAAAAGGAACUCGGCAAACCCUAAGGCCCGACUGUUUACCAAAAACAUAGCCUUCAGCCAACAACAAGUAUUGAAGGUGAUGCCUGCCCAGUGACAUCAAAGUUCAACGGCCGCGGUAUCCUAACCGUGCAAAGGUAGCGCAAUCAAUUGUCCCAUAAAUCGAGACUUGUAUGAACGGCUAAACGAGGUCUUAACUGUCUCCUACAGAUAAUCGGUGAAAUUGAUACUCUCGUGCAAAAGCGAGAAUAUGAACAUAAGACGAGAAGACCCUGUGGAACUUUAAAAUCAGCGACCACCUAACCAAACACUUCCCCCAUACGGGCUCACCCGCCAUCAUUAAUGCCUGGUCGACAUUUUUCGGUUGGGGCGACCUUGGAGAAAAAAAAACCCUCCAAAUUAACCCAGGCCACAACCCUUCACCAAGAGCUACCACUCAAAGUACUAAAAGUCAUCAGACCCAAUACAAUUGACCAAUGAACCAAGCUACCCCAGGGAUAACAGCGCAAUCCCCUCCAAGAGCCCAUAUCGACAAGGGGGUUUACGACCUCGAUGUUGGAUCAGGACAACCUAAUGGUGCAGCCGCUAUUAAAGGGUUCGUUUGUUCAACGAUUAAAAGUCCUACGUGAUCUGAGUUCAGACCGGGGCAAU